rnacentral:rRNA from 1 species
UCCCUAGCUGGUCUGAGAGGAUGAUCAGCCACACUGGAACUGAGACACGGUCCAGACUCCUACGGGAGGCAGCAGUGGGGAAUAUUGCACAAUGGGCGCAAGCCUGAUGCAGCCAUGCCGCGUGUAUGAAGAAGGCCUUCGGGUUGUAAAGUACUUUCAGCAGUGAGGAAGGUUCAUACGUUAAUAGCGUAUGGAUUUGACGUUAGCUGCAGAAGAAGCACCGGCUAACUCCGUG